rnacentral:rRNA from 1 species
GUGGGGAAUAUUGGACAAUGGGGGGAACCCUGAUCCAGCCAUGCCGCGUGUGUGAAGAAGGCCUUUUGGUUGUAAAGCACUUUAAGCGAGGAGGAGGCUACCGAGAUUAAUACUCUUGGAUAGUGGACGUUACUCGCAGAAUAAGCACCGGCUAACUCUGUGCCAGCAGCCGCGGUAAUACAGAGGGUGCAAGCGUUAAUCGGAUUUACUGGGCGUAAAGCGCGCGUAGGUGGCCAAUUAAGUCAAAUGUGAAAUCCCCGAGCUUAACUUGGGAAUUGCAUUCGAUACUGGUUGGGUAGAGUAUGGGAGAGGAUGGUAGAAUUCCAGGUGUAGCGGUGAAAUGCGUAGAGAUCUGGAGGAAUACCGAUGGCGAAGGCAGCCAUCUGGCCUAAUAUUGACACUGAGGUGCGAAAGCAUGGGGAGCAAACAGGAUUAGAUACCCGAGUAGUCC